rnacentral:rRNA from 1 species
UACGGAGGGUGCAAGCGUUGCUCGGAAUUAUUGGGCGUAAAGGGUAGGUAGGUGGUCUCGUUUGUCAGGGGUGAAAGCCUUGGGCUUAACUCAAGAAGUGCCCCUGAAACGGCGAGACUCGAGUACUGGAGAGGCUAGUGGAAUUCCCGGUGUAGCGGUGAAAUGCGUAGAGAUCGGGAGGAACACCAGAGGCGAAGGCGGCUAGCUGGACAGUUACUGACACUCAACUACGAAAGCGUGGGGAGCAAACAGG